GACGAACGCUGGCGGCGUGCCUAAUACAUGCAAGUCGAACGCUUCUUUCCUCCCGAGUGCUUGCACUCAAUUGGAAAGAGGAGUGGCGGACGGGUGAGUAACACGUGGGUAACCUACCCAUCAGAGGGGGAUAACACUUGGAAACAGGUGCUAAUACCGCAUAACAGUUUAUGCCGCAUGGCAUAAGAGUGAAAGGCGCUUUCGGGUGUCGUUGAUGGAUGGACCCGCGGUGCAUUAGCUAGUUGGUGAGGUAACGGCUCACCAAGGCCACGAUGCAUAGCCGACCUGAGAGGGUGAUCGGCCACACUGGGACUGAGACACGGCCCAGACUCCUACGGGAGACAGCAGUAGGGAAUCUUCGGCAAUGGACGAAAGUCUGACCGAGCAACGCCGCGUGAGUGAAGAAGGUUUUCGGAUCGUAAAACUCUGUUGUUAGAGAAGAACAGGGACGUUAGUAACUGAACGUCCCCUGACGGUAUCUAACCAGAAAGCCACGGCUAACUACGUG
rnacentral:rRNA from 1 species